CUGGCGAACGGGUGAGUAACGCGUAGGCAACCUGCCUCUUAGUUGGGGACAGCCCCGGGAAACCGGGAUUAAUACCGAAUAUUGUCCCGCUCUGCAAGGAGCGGGAUGAAAGUGGUGCCGAUUUAUCGGUAUCACGCUGAGAGAUGGGCCUGCGUCUGAUUAGCUUGUUGGUGAGGUAACGGCUCACCAAGGCGACGAUCAGUAGCUGGUUCGAGAGGAUGAUCAGCCACACUGGGACUGAGAUACGGCCCAGACUCCUACGGGAGGCAGCAGUGGGGAAUUUUGCGCAAUGGGCGAAAGCCUGACGCAGCAACGCCGCGUGAUCGACGAAGCUCUGAGGAGUGUAAAGAUCUGUCCCGGGGGAAGAACAACCCCGAUGCUCAUACCAUCGGGGUCUGACGGUACCCCGGAAGAAAGCCCCGGCUAACUUCGUGCCAGCAGCCGCGGUAAUACGAGGGGGGCGAGCGUUGUCCGGAUUUAUUGGGUGUAAAGGGCUCGUAGGCGGGCCGAUCAGUCGGAACUUAAAUCCCACGGCUUAACCGUGGACCUGGUUUCGAUACUGUCGGCCUUGAGAUCGGUAGAGGAAAGCGGAAUUCCUGGUGUAGCGGUGAAAUGCGUAGAUAUCAGGAAGAACACCGAUGGCGAAGGCAGCUUUCUGGGCCGACACUGACGCUGAGGAGCGAAAGCGUGGGUAGCGAACAGGAUUAGAUACCCUGGUAGUCCACGCCGUAAACGAUGAGUACUUGAUGGUGGGGGAUUCGACCCCUUCACUGUCGGAGCUAACGCG
rnacentral:rRNA from 1 species